rnacentral:lncRNA from 1 species
GAUGAUGUCUCCAAGAAGUUCCAAGGCCAUUCAGUCCAAACCUGUGUAAUCUGGUUUUUUCUUUGUCAUUUUAGCGUAUACAAGGGUUUAUUUUCAGUUAUAACAAAAAAAAAUAGUUCCAAUUAAGUUUUUGUCAUAUAAAGUUUGGGUUUUCUUCAUGCCUUUUUGGGCUUAAGCCCCUACACAACACAACAUGCGACAGUAGGUCAGUGUGUCAAUAUAUCAAUUUUUUAAAGUGGCUGAUUUCUUGAAAUUAUGAUGUACAAUUUCUGUCUCAAUCAUCACUAUUAGGUCCUAUAAGUUUCAACAUGUAAUGCCGACAAA